rnacentral:lncRNA from 1 species
GGCAGAAGAUGUCCAAGACCCAUGCAAUUUCUGUUGAAGCUUUCAUCUGAAAUUGAUGCUGAUAAUUGGCAACUUUUUAACCAAGCAUCUGAAAUGGUUUGGAUCUCCCCUUAAUUUUUCUUUAAAUUUUCACUGGGGGGAGAUUUCCCCAUCUGAUUUUUUUAUGAUUAACAGGGCCCAAAAGCCUAGAUUGCCGUACAUUACAACGUAGGAAGAGGGGUUUUUUCCUAUUUGCCGCUCGCUGCGGCAAAUUGCCGGAGCGACGCACUGGGAAUCUGAACGAGGGCUCGGGGUGGGCCGGCCCAUCAAAUGCUUGAGCGAUUCCGGUUUUGGGAACGUUCCAGCUGGUUCCCAGCCGGGCUUUUCCGGUUUUGGGACCUUCUAGGAGGUUCCUGAAACGUUUGAUUUUUCUUUUUAUCUUUUUUUCGUUUUUAUGUUUCUUUUUUUCUCUUUUCUGUAACUUUUUCUUUCUUUUUCAUUUUUUUGCUUUUCUGUUUUCAAAGUUAUUUUCUUUUUUUCAAAAAAUAUUUGUGUUGCUCACAAUUGUUCAAAACUUCACAAAAUGUUAUAAUUUUCGAAUUUUCUUCAUGCUUUUAAAAAAUUGUUCAAAACUUCAAUAAAUGUUCUCAUUUUCAAAUUUUCAUCCUGACUUGAAAAAAUGUUCAUGCUUUCAAAAAAUUGUUCAAAGUUCAAAAAAUGUUCGCAUUUUAAAAUUUUGUUCCUGAUGUGACCAGAGGUGCAAAAAGAGAUCAAGUUAUCAAAUCAAAUAGUUUGACCAUUGGCCAAAUUACAAUGAAAGUACCAUCAUCAGAACCACCAGCUGAAGAAGUCACGCCAAAUUUUCGUACUCCAAGUUGGACAUUGGUCGGUGCUAUUCCAAUUCAAGUAGCCUAAUUUUUUUUAGUUUUUGUUAGUAAGUUUCAUCCGAAUAGAAACCGCUAUGGUACGGUCUUGUUUUGGUUGUUUAGAUCCUGCGUGAUCUAUUUUGGUUAGGCGUGAUCCUGCAUGAUUAACAACGUUGCCGGAUUAUUUUAUUAGGAAAGUCCUAGUUAUAUGGUUGAGAGAGAGAGUCCUAAUUUUCCUUCUCUUUGUUUUGCACGUGAGUGUUUUGCACGUUAGGAUAGAGUCCAGGUCGGUUUGUGAGCUCAGGGUCGCCUAUAAAUAUGGCUGGCUUCGGCCAUGUAACGCAGAUUGGUUUUUCUUAAAUCGUGAGUCAAUAAAGUUACAGAAAACGUUCCAUGUCGAGGGACACCAAAUAUCGUCUUCGUUGCUGAUCCGUGAGGAUUUUGUUGCUGCUGUGCGUGGAGUCGAUUCAAUCUACUUGACGCAAGUUUUCGUUCUUACGGUCUUGCAUCUUUGCUCGACCGGAAUUUCUUGUUGCUGCUAGUAUCGUGAAAGAUCGGGCCGACGAACGACUCGCCAUCUAGUCGAGUCUACAUCAAGUGGUAUUCGGAGCUAAGGUUGUUCACGGUACUGUGUUGAUUAAGAUGUCAACCUCGGCCGACAAGGGUGACGAGGUUGCUGCUGAUUCUGAGGAAAUAGUGCGUCCAGUGUAUGCGGAUGAUAUUCCUCAAAAUAUUCGGGAUGGUUUUGACCACACAUGCAACUACAUCAAGCAAUGUCAUGACGCGCUCGGCAAAAGGAUAGAUGUCCUGAUCACUCGGUUCGAUGGUUUGGCAGACAUCAUCAAUAUGCCGGCAGCGACUUCUGCACCACCACAGACUGCUCCGGCUGCUCCACUGUAUUAUGCACCACCAGCUCGCGACGGAUAUGCUGGCGUGCAUGAUCGCCGUCUGGCGGCACACCCUCAUGCUGGAGAUGAUGGUUUCGGUGAUGGCAUUGACCACGCGGGGUACGCGCCACGACCACGACACUAUGAGCCUCGUUCCGAAACAUCCAUUCGUGGUGGAGUGCAUGACCGAGUUGGUCAAGCUGUGCGUGUGCCUUUGGAUGAUGGAAUUGGGCGCAUAAAAAUUUCAAUCCCUUCGUUCUCCGGCAAGUGCGAACCAGAAGGCUAUUUGGAGUGGGAGAUGCGUGUUGAUCAAAUUUUUGAUGCUCAUCAUUAUAGCGAGGAGAAGAAAGUUCAACUUGCUGGAAUUGAAUUCACCGGAUACGCGCUAAUUUGGUGGAAUCAAAUUUGUCGUUCAAGACAUCGGCCGACGACUUGGCGAGGUAUGAAAGAAUUCAUGAGGCGACGUUUUGUUCCUGAGCACUAUAAAAGAGACAUGUACAACAAGUUGCAGCGGCUCUCUCAAGGUAAUAUGAGUGUUGAUGAAUAUUACAAGGAGAUGGAAUUGCUUAUGAUACGUACAGGGACAACGGAGGAUCCGGAGGCGACUAUGGCUCGUUUCUUUAACGGGCUAAAUAUCGAGGUGCAGGAUCGUGUUGAGAUGGUGGUCUACUACAACAUACAAGAUCUUGUGCACCAAGCUGUGCGUGCGGAACAACAGAUUAAGCGACGCCAAGUCAACAUUGUUCCCAGUACCACUUUGAACACAUGGCGACGCUCGCAGUAUAAGAGUGAGGAUGUCGGUCCUAGCUCCAGGGCAACAUCAUCAAAUCGCUCUCAUGGUUCCGUGCAAAAGGAUGCUUCAAAAUCAGGACUGUCGAUGGUUGAUUCUAGUGCACAGUCGACCGGACGCACUAGUGACAUAGAGUGUUUCAAGUGUGGAGGAAGGGGACAUAUGAAGCGUGAAUGUCCUAACGAGAAAAGAAUGUUGCUCACGAGAGAUGGCUAUGCAUCCGCUAGUGAUGAAGAGGCAGUUUCUGACACUUCUGGUGAAAAAUCUGAAGAUGUUGAAAAUGUGGUUGCGAGUUUCGAAGCUGCAGAAUCAUAUCCGUCUUUGAUGGUGCAACGGGUGCAAGAAGAUCGCAUUGAGGAUAAGGGGCAGCGAUGGAAUAUUUUUCAAACUCAAUGCAAAAUCGACAACACUAAUUGUAAGUUGAUCAUAGAUGGAGGAAGCUACACCAACGCGGUUAGCAAGGACUUGGUGGAUGCUUUAGCUUUGCCUACCUGGAAGCACCUACAACCCCACUGCGUCGAAUGGUUAUAUCAGUCGGGGAAACUGAAAGUUACUCACAAGGUGCGUCUCAAUUUUUCGGUUGGUGACUAUACUGAUACAGUGAUUUGUGAUGUAUUGCCGAUGGAUGCAUGUCAUUUAUUGUUGGGGAGACCAUGGCAAUAUGACCGUCAUGCCACACAUGAGGGACGGUCCAAUACAUACUCUUUUUGGAAAGCCGGAAGACGACAUGUUCUGCGUUCUAUGUUUAUGGGAGAAAUCAUGGUGGACACAACUGCUUCACUGAAGAAGUCAAUGAAAUCUCCCGCAAAACCGAGGACGGUUUUGUUUCAAGGAGGAGGGGAUGAUGUGACCAGAGGUGCAAAAAGAGAUCAAAUUAUCAAAUCAAAUAGUUUGACCAUUGGCCAAAUUACAAUGAAAGUACCAUCAUCAGAACCACCAGCUGAAGAAGUCACGCCAAAUUUUCGUACUCCAAGUUGGACAUUGGUCGGUGCUAUUCCAAUUCAAGUAGCCUAAUUUUUUUUUUAGUUUUUGUUAGUAAGUUUCAUCCGAAUAGAAACCGCUAUGGUACGGUCUUGUUUUGGUUGUUUAGAUCCUGCGUGAUCUAUUUUGGUUAGGCGUGAUCCUGCAUGAUUAACAACGUUGCCGGAUUAUUUUAUUAGGAAAGUCCUAGUUAUAUGGUUGAGAGAGAGAGUCCUAGUUUUCCUUCUCUUUGUUUUGCACGUGAGCGUUUUGCACGUUAGGAUAGAGUCCAUGUCGGUUUGUGAGCUCAGGGUCGCCUAUAAAUAUGGCUGGCUUCGGCCAUGUAACGCAGAUUGGUUUUUCUUAAAUCGUGAGUCAAUAAAGUUACAGAAAACGUUCCAUGUCGAGGGACACCAAAUAUCGUCUUCGUUGCUGAUCCGUGAGGAUUUUGUUGCUGCUGUGCGUGGAGUCGAUUCAAUCUACUUGACGCAAGUUUUCGUUCUUACGGUCUUGCAUCUUUGCUCGACCGGAAUUUCUUGUUGCUGCUAGUAUCGUGAAAGAUCGGGCCGACGAACGACUCGCCAUCUAGUCGAGUCUACAUCAGUUCCUGACUUUAAUAAAUAUUCAUGCUUUAAAAUAAAUUGUUCGAAAGUUCAAAAAAAUGUUCCUUUACAAUUUUUGUUCACAUUUUCCCAAAUAUUCAUGGUUUCAAAUUUUUUCACAUAAUAAAAAAAUUGUUUGCCUUUUCCAAAUAUAGUUUGGCAGUUUCAAUAAAUUUUAAAAUUCAAAAUUUGUUCACAAAUUUGUGCUUAAAAUAUGUUCACAAAUUUUAAAAUAUGUUAUGAAAAUUCAAAAUGUGUUCUUCAUUUUAGAAUUUUGUUCACAAAUGCGAAAAUUGUUCAUGUUUACAAAAAAGUACGAAAAUUCAUCGUUUCUAAAUUUUGUUUUGAAAACAAGAAUAUGCUUGUGUCUUCUCUUUUCCUUUUNNNNNNNNNNNNNNNNNNNNNNNNNNNNNNNNNNNNNNNNNNNNNNNNNNNNNNNNNNNNNNNNNNNNNNNNNNNNNNNNNNNNNNNNNNNNNNNNNNNNNNNNNNNNNNNNNNNNNNNNNNNNNNNNNNNNNNNNNNNNNNNNNNNNNNNNNNNNNNNNNNNNNNNNNNNNNNNNNNNNNNNNNNNNNNNNNNNNNNNNNNNNNNNNNNNNNNNNNNNNNNNNNNNNNNNNNNNNNNNNNNNNNNNNNNNNNNNNNNNNNNNNNNNNNNNNNNNNNNNNNNNNNNNNNNNNNNNNNNNNNNNNNNNNNNNNNNNNNNNNNNNNNNNNNNNNNNNNNNNNNNNNNNNNNNNNNNNNUUUUCAAGUAUACUCUUAUUUUUCUUAAAGUUGAAGUUUCGAAAAUUGUUCAGAAACUUGAAAAAUGAUCAUCCUAGAAAAUACUAUUUUUUUCAAAAAUUGUCGUGUUUUCAAAAAUUGUUCAUAAAUUCGAAUAGUGUUUGCAUUUUCAAAAACAAAUCCGGGCAUUUCAAGAAUUUUUCUCAUUUUUAAAAAAUUUCUCAGCAUUUAAAAGAUGUUUUUGUUUUAAAAAUUUGUUCACAAAUUAAAAAAUAAUAAUCUUUUUUUCAUCUUUUAUUCUAGUAUUUCAAAAGUUGUUUCUUUUUUUAAAACUUUGUUCACAAAUUUCUGUUUUUAAACUUUUCUUCUAGUAUUUCAAAAGUUUUCGUUUCAAUAUUUUGUUCACCUAACUCAAAAUGUUCGCAUUUCCAAAAUUUGUUCACGAUUUUACCAUUGUUCUCAGUUUAAAAAUUUUGUUCUGAAUCUAAAACGUUGUCCCCAUUUUCAAAAUUUGCUCACGAAUUCUAAAAUCUUCAGGAAUUUUGAAAAAAAAAUCACGUUUUCAAAAAUGUGCUGUAACUUCAAAAAAUGUUUGACUUUUAAAUACGUUCCUCUGUUGUCUGUUCUUAUUGUUUCGUGCUAACCAUUUGGACAUCUGGCGGCUUCAGCUCAAGUGGCUAGCUGCAAGGAAUUUGAGGCGCGAGGACGCAUGUUCGGGUCCUCCCAGCGCUGUCAUUUUUGCGUCGUUAAGUUUUGCGCUCAGCUUAACUCGAUUGUAGUGGGCCGGCCCAGUCUGGGACCUCCUGUGCGGCGCCCGCUCCAUUUGCCGUAGUAAGCGGCGUACAGGAGCUCCCGGAAGAGGGGGCUAGAGGCAGAGAUGCAAGAACACAAGACUAGGCAGCCAACUUUUCAGAUAAUCAGGUAAGCUUGCAGUUUCUGCAAACAAAGAGUAACCAGAUAACCCAUUUGUUUCAGAUAAUCAGUUGUAAAGCCGUUGCAGCAGUGAUUUGCAAGUUCGAUACACACUUGAUUUGAUUGGGAAGAUGUAAAGUACGCGCCUGAUCAUCAAAUUCUCCUACUUUUGUGACGAUUUUCCUUAGGUAAUUUAUAAAAUAAGCUCAACACAUUAUAUAUAGUUCAGUGACCGGCAACUAAGCCUCAAUCGUUGGAUGAGCCGUUGAAUUUUUAGCCCAUGGUUGAACAACCAAGUCCGAUCCUCAUUGAAAGCGUGAGUGAAAACUCAUGCAUGUGGGCCAUGGGAUAGUUGUCUUGCGGUUGAAAACAAAUAGAAUAAAUAAAAUAUAUACAUAACAAACAAAAAAUGGAAUCGGAGGCAAGAAUGGCUACUAAGCUUGGUUGACCAAGACUUAAAAGAAACUAAGUCGACCAAUGGGAGAAUAGCAAAUCCGUUUUUCACAAUGAUAUGGGUAAGGCCACUAAAACCAAGAGAAAUUCUGCAUUAGUCUAUCCCGUCACAACGCUUUUGCCAGGGCCAGUAUUAAGCACAAAACGGAGCAUAUAGAAAAGGGACCACGAAUGUUAUACACUACAUGAAUUCUUUCAACAAAAUAAUGGAUGACAAAAAAAUAAUAAGGCCAUUCACAAACAUUGAAACCAUAUAUAUUACUAUUUCUAGAAAUCUACAAUGAUUAAGUUAGUAGAUUAAUUAAUACAUGUACAUUGCUCAGGGUGCAUUUAUCAUUUUUUACAACAAACAGCUAUCUAGAACUUAAUUGUUUUUUUUCAAAACCAAAUAAAAUAAUAUGAGAAAGAAAACUCUAAUGCAAACAUAAAUACUUUAUUUGCACUUGGCACACUUUAGUUUAUAUGUCUUCUAUUAGAUUCCCAUAGGUUAGAUAGAUUUUUUUAAAGAAUACAUAAUCAUGAUUGCAAAAUUCAAUCGUAAAACGCUUAUAAAAAUCUAUAGAGUUUAUGAACUCUUCGACAUGACAAUAUUUUUUGUAGAAAAUUUUAUAUAUUGCAUACAUUUUCCAAGCAUAUAUUCUUCAUACUGAAUUGUCAAAAUUGACUUCAUGCUUUUACAGAAAAUCAUCUAUUUAAUAAAGAGGUAUCACAUUUUAUUGCAUUUUCUUUGUUAUCUCUCCUACUUAAAAAGAACGCAAGGCUUGCAUCCGCUCUUCAUUUGUCCAAGAGUACAUACAUUUCCUUCUCUCUCCCUCCAUUUUGAUUUUUUUCUCACGUCUCUUGUUUUUCUCACCGGCGGCUUUUCACAAAUUUUCUUAAUUGCCUCACUUUUAUUUAAUUACCAAGUGAAACUAUGUUUUUUUGGUAAGACAAAUAAAUGCUUACCAAACAAGUGCUUAUGAAAUAAAUCUUAUUUGUUUACACAAUCAAAUUAAUAUGGACAAGUAAAUUACGGGCUACCUACUAUAACUUUUAUAUUCCGUUGCGACACACGGACAAUUAUCUCAGAUGAAAAUUGUAACUAAUUUUCAAUUUUACCUACCAUCACCUAUAAAAUAUUUAAAUCUUUAAGGAAUUAACAUAUUAUCAAAGGCAUUGGCACGGAUGGUAAUAUCAUCAAUUAUAUUUAGUACCAAAAUCAAGAGAUCUCUAUGCAGCUAUAGUAUAUAGUCGCCCUGAUACUAGUGACAAAGCAAACACUGGUCACUAGUAACUCAACAAUUACCAGUGGUAUGGGCGUAUACUCGGCUCUUGCUGGUUACACCCUAUUAGAAACCACUACAAGAAAUAUGUCAAGUAGUGACCUUCUGUCAGUGACCCUGAAAGAAUUGUUCAUAGAUCUAUGACCAUUUCAGACCAAUUUGUCAAAAAGGUGUUCGGGGGGCUUCAAACCCUAAACCAUUGUGACCAUUUUGGUCAGAAAGGUCAUAGUUUCCUUACACGAAAUGGUCCCAAAACAAACAGUGCUAGUCUGCUGCCUUAUUUCUAGUUGUUAAUGACCAAUAUAGAUGGUCAUAGCCUUGUAUAUUGUGGUGGAUUGUGAUGACUAGACGCCAUCUCAUCAGUUUUGCCUAUGUGUCAUGUCCAUGUGGCAGUUUUUGCCCUAGGUUGUGAAGCAACCUAUAUUUCUGUUUAUCCCAAAAAUUCCCAAAAAAUUCUCAUAAAUGUUUUGGAUCAUACUUCAUCAAAUAUUUCAAAAAAAUUCCUUGCCUAUUUCAAAAAUAAUUCGAAAAUAUUCAUUUUCCUAUUCUGUUCGGAGCAGCACUUUGUGAAGGAAGUACCACUUUGGUGUUGGGGAACGUAGCAGAAAUUCAAAAAUUUUCCUACGUAUCACCAAGAUCUAUCUAUGGAGAGACCAGCAACGAGUAGAAAGGAGAGUGGAGAGUGCAUCUACAUACCCUUGUAGAUCGCUAAGCGGUAGCGUUCAAGUGAACGGGGUUGAUGGAGUCGUACUCGUCGUGAUUCAAAUCACCGAUGAUCUAGUGCCGAACGGACAGCACCUCCACGUUCAACACACGUACAGCCCGGUGACGUCUCCCACGCCUUGAUCCAGCAAGGAGAGAGGGAGAGGUUGAGGAAGACUCCAUCCAACAGCAGCACAACAGCGUGGUGGUGGUGGAGGAGCGUGGCAAUCCCGCAGGGCUUCGCCAAGCACCAUGGGAGAGGAGGAGGAGGGAGAGGGGCAGGGCUGCACCAACGAGAGAUCAAAUCGCGUGUUAUGGGCAGCCCCUAGGCCUCAUAUAUAUAGGGGAAGGGGAGGGCUGCGCCCCCUUUAGGGUUUCCCACCCCAAGGGGUGGCGGCCAGCCUCCAGAUGGCAUCUGGUGCGGCGGCCAAGAGGGGGGGAGGAGUCCAUCCUCCCCAAGGCACCUCGGAGGUGCCUUCCCCCUUGAGGACUCUUCCCUCUAGGGUUCCCUAGGCGCAUGGGCCUCUUGGGGCUGGUGCCCUUGGCCCAUGUAGGCCAAGGCGCACCCCCUACAGCCCAUGUGGCCCCCCGGGGCAGGUGGCCCCACCCGGUGGGCCCCCGGGACCCUUCCGGUGGUCCCGGUACAAUACCGAUGACCCCGAAACUUGUCCCGAUGGCCGAAACAGGACUUCCUAUAUAUAAAUCUUUACCUCCGGACCAUUCCGGAACUCCUCAUGACGUCCGGGAUCUCAUCCGGGACUCCGAACAACAUUCGGUAACCACAUACAAGCUUCCUUUAUAACCCUAGCAUCAUCGAACCUUAAGUGUGUAGACCCUACGGGUUCGGGAGACAUGCAGACAUGACCGAGACGUUCUCCGGUCAAUAACCAACAGCGGGAUCUGGAUACCCAUGAUGGCUCCCACAUGUUCCACGAUGAUCUCAUCGGAUGAACCACGAUGUCAAGGACUUAAUCAAUCCCGUAUUCAAUUCCCUUUGUCUAGCGGUAUUUUACUUGCCCGAGAUUCGAUCGUCGGUAUCCAAUACCUUGUUCAAUCUCGUUACCGGCAAGUCACUUUACUCGUUCCGUAACACAUCAUCCCGUGAUCAACUCCUUGGUCACAUUGCGCAUAUGAUGAUGUCCUACCGAGUGGGCCCAGAGAUACCUCUCCGUUUACACGGAGUGACAAAUCCCAGUCUCGAUCCGCAUAAAACAAUAGAUACUUUCGGAGAUACCUGUAGUGCACCUUUAUAGUCACCCAGUUACGUUGUGACGUUUGAUACACCCAAAGCACUCCUACGGUAUCCAGGAGUUACACGAUCUCAUGGUCAAAGGAAGAGAUACUUGACAUUGGCAAAGCUCUAGCAAACGAACUACACAAUCUUUGUGCUAUGCUUAGGAUUGGGUCUUGUCCAUCACAUCAGUCUCCUAAUGAUGUGAUCCCGUUAUCAACGACAUCCAAUGUCCAUAGCCAGGAAACCAUGACUAUCUGUUGAUCACAACGAGCUAGUCAACUAGAGGCUCACUAGGGACAUAUUGUGGUCUAUGUAUUCACACGUGUAUUACGAUUUCCGGAUAAUACAGUUAUAGUAUGAAUAAAAGACAAUUAUCAUGAACAAGGAAAUAUAAUAAUAAUACUUUUAUUAUUGCCUCUAGGGCAUAUUUCCAACAGUCUCCCACUUGCACUAGAGUCAAUAAUCUAGUUCACAUCGCCAUGUGAUUAACACUCACAGGUCACAUCGCCAUGUGACUAAUACCCAAGAGUUUACUAGAGUCAGUAGUCACAUCACUAUGUGAUUAACACUCAAUGAGUUUUAUGUUUGAUCAUGUUGCUUGUGAGAGAGGUUUUAGUCAACGGGUCUGAACCUUUCAGAUCCGUGUGUGCUUUACAAAUCUCUAUGUCAUCUCCUAGAUGCAGCUACCACGCUCUAUUUGGAGCUAUUCCAAACAACUGUUCUACUUGGAGCUAUUCUAAAUUAUUGCUCCAUUAUAUGUAUCCGGUCUCUCUACUCAGAGCUAUCCGGAUAGGUGUCAAGCUUGCAUCGUCGUAACCUUUACGACGAACUCUUUUACCACCUCCAUAAUCGAGAAAAUUCCUUAGUCCACUAGUUACCAAGGAUAACUUUGACCGCUGUCCUGUGAGCCAUUCUUGGAUCACUCUUGUACCCCUUGACUGACUCAUGGCAAGGCACACUUCAGGUGCGGUACACAGCAUAGCAUACUGAAGAGCCUGCGUCUUAAGCAUAGGGGACGACCUUCGUCCUUUCUCUCUAUUCUGCCGUGGUCGAGCUUUAAGUCUUAACUUCGUACCUUACAACUCAGGCAAGAACUCCUUCUUUGACUGGUCCAUCUUGAACACCUUCAAGAUCAUGUCAAGGUAUGUGCUCAUUUGAAAGUAUUAUUAAGCAUUUUGAUCUAUCCUUAUAGAUCUUGAUGCUCAAUGUUCAAGUAGCUUAAUCCAGGCUUUCUAUUGAAAAACACCUUUCAAAAUAACCCUAUAUGCUUUCCAGAAAUUCUACGUCAUUUCUGAUCAACAAUAUGUCAACAACAUAUACUCAUCAGAAAUUCUAUAGUGCUCCCACUCACUUCUUUGGAAAUACAAGUUUCUCAUAAACUUUGUACAAACCCAAAUUUUUUUGAUCAUCAUCAAAGCAUACAUUUCAACUCCGAGAUGCUCACUCCAGUCCUUAGAAGGAUUGCUGGAGCUUUGCAUACUUAUUAGCAUCUUUCGGGAUUGACAAAACCUUCCGGUUGUAUCACAUACAACCUUUCCUCAUUAAAAUCGUCGAGGAAACAAUGUUUUGACAUCCUAUCUGCAAGAUUUCAUAAAUAAUGCAGUAAUCGCUAAUAUAAUUCCAACAGACUCUUAGCAUCGCUACGAGUGAGAAAAUCUCAUCGUAGUCAACUCCUUGAACUUGUCGGAAAACAUCUUAACGACAAGUCGAGCUUUCUUAAUGGUGACAUUUACCAUCAUUGUCCGUCUUCCUUUUGAAAUCCAUCUGUACUCAUUAGCCUUACGACCAUCGAGCCGUUCUGCCAAAGUCUACACUUUGUUUUCAUACAUGGAUCCUCUCUCGGAUUUUAUGGCCUCAAGCCAUUUAUCGGAAUUCGGGCCCACCAUCGCUUCUCCAUAGCUCGUAGGUUCAUUGUUGUCUAGCAACAUGACCUUCAAGACAGGAUUACGUACCACUCUGAAGUAGUACGCAUCCUUGUCAUCCUACGAGGUUUGGGAGUGACUUGAUCCGAAGUUUCAUGAUCAAUAUCAUAAGCUUCCACUUCAAUUGGUGUAGGUGCCACAGGAACAACUCCCUGUGCCCUGUCACACACUAGUUGAAGAGACGGUUCAAUAACCUCAUCAAGUCUCCACCAUCCUCCCACUCAAUUCUUUCGAGAGAAACUUUUCCUCGCGAAAGGACCCGAUUCUAGAAACAAUCCAUAUUGCUUUCGGAUCUGAAUUAGGAGGUAUACCCAACUGUUUUGGGUUUCCUAUGAAGAUGCAUUUUAUCCGCUUUGGGUUCGAGCUUAUCAACCUGAAACUUUUCCAUAUAAGCGUCGCAGCCCCAAACUUUUAAGAAACGACAACUUAGGUUUCUCUAAACCAUAAUUCAUACGGUGUCAUCUCAUCGGAAUUACGUGGUGCCCUAUUUAAAGUGAAUGUGGUUGUCUCUAAUGCCUAACCCAUGAACGAUAGUGGUAAUUCGAUAAGAGACAUCAUGGUACGCACCAUAUCCAAUAGGGUGCAACUAUGAUGUUCGGACACACCAUCACACUAUGGUGUUCCAGGCGGUAUUAAUUAUGAAACAAUUUCCACAAUGUCUUAAUUGUGUGCCAAAACUCGUAACUCAGAUAUUCAUCUCUAUGAUCGUAUCAUAGACAUUUUAUCCUCUUGUCACAAUGAUCUUCUACUUCACUCUGAAAUUACUUGAACCAUUCAAUAAUUCAGAGUUGUGUUUCAUCAAGUAAAUAUUCUCAACAUCUACUCGAAUCAUCUGUGAAGUAAGAACAUAACAAUAUUCACUGCAUGCCUCAGCAUUUAUUGGACUGCACACAUCAAAAUGUGUUACUUCCAACAAGUUGCUAUCUUGUUCCAUCUUAUUGAAACCGAGGCUUUUCAGUCAUCUUGCCUAUGUGGUAUGAUUUGCAUAUCUCAAGUGAUUCAAAAUCAAGUGAGUCCGAACGGUCCAUUUGCAUGGAGUUUCUUCAUGCAUAUACACCAAUAGACAUGGUUCGCAUGUCUCAAACUUUUCAAAAACGAGUGAGUCCAAAGAUCCAUCAACAUGGAGCUUCUUCAUGCGUUUUAUACCAAUAUGACUUACACAGCAGUGCCACAAGUAAGUGGUACUAUCAUUACUAUCUUAUAUCUUUUGGCAUGAAAAUGUGUAUCACUACGAUCGAGAUUCAAUAAACCAUUCAUUUUAGGUGUAAGACCAUUGAAGGUAUUAUUCAAAUAAACAGAGUAACCAUUAUUCUCCUUAAAUGAAUAACCGUAUUGCGAUAGACAUAAUCCAAUCAUGUCUAUGCUCAACGCAAACACCAAUCUCGGUGGUAGAGGGAGCGUGCAAUGCUUGAUCAUAUCAACCUUGGAAACACUUCCAACACGUAUCGUCAGCUCACCUUUAGCUAGUCUCCGUUUUAUUCCGUAGCUUUUAUUUCGAGUUACUAACACUUAGCAACCGAACCGGUAUCCAAUACCCUGGUGCUACUAGGAGUACUAGUAAAGUACACAUUAACAUAAUGUAUAUCCAAUAUACUUCUAUCGACCUUGCCAGCCUUCUCAUCUACCAAGUAUCUAGGGUAAUGCUGCUCCAGUGGUUGUUCCCCUUAUUACAGAAGCACUUAGUCUCGGGUUUGGGUUCAACCUUGGGUUUCUUCACUAGAGCAGCAGCUGAAUUGCCGUUUCAUGAAGUAUCCCUUUGUUCCCUUGCCCUUCUUGAAACUAGUGGUUUCACCAACCAUCAACAAUUGAUGCUCCUUCUUGAUUUCUACUUUCGCGGUGUCAAACAUCAUGAAUAUUUCAAGGAUCAUCAUAUCUAUCCCUGAUAUGUUAUAGUUAAUCACGAAGCUCCAGCAGCUUGGUGGCAAUGACUUUGGGGAAACAUCACUAUCUCAUCUGGAGGAUCAACUCCCACUCGAUUCAAGUGAUUGUUGUGCUUAGACAAUCUGAGCACAAGCUCAACGAUUGAGCUUUUCUCCCUUAGUUUGCAGGCUAAGAAAAUCGUCGGAGGUCUUAUACCUCUUGACGUGGGCACGAGCCUCAAAUCCCAAUUUCAGCCCUCGAAACAUCUCAUAUGUUCCGCGACGUUUCGAAAACGUCUUUGGUGCCUCUACUUAAACCAUUUAAUUAAACUAUCACGUAGUUAUCAAAACGUGUAUGUCCGAUGUUCGCAACAUCGACAAACGACGUUGGGGUUCAGCACACUGAGCGGUGCAUUAAGGACAUAAGCUUUCUACUGAUCGCAUAAUCGCUACUAUCAACUUUCAACUAUAUUUUCUCUAGGAACAUAUCUAAACAGUGGAACUAAAGCGCGAGCUUACGACAUAAUUUGCAAAAGGUCUUUUGACUAUGUUCAGGAUAAUUAAGUUCAUCUUAUGAACUCCCACUUAGAUAGACAUCCCUCUGGUCAUCUAAGUGAUCACAUGAUCCGAGUCAACUAGGCCGUGUCCGAUCAUCACGUGAGACGGACUAGUCAUCAUCGGUGAACAUCUUCAUGUUGAUCGUAUCUACUAUACAACUCAUGCUCGACCUUUCGGUCUCCGUGUUCCGAGGCCAUGUCUGCACAUGCUAGGCUCGUCAAGUUAACCCUAAGUGUUUUCGCUGUGUAAAACUGUCUUACACCCGUUGUAUGUGAACGUAAGAAUCCAUCACACCCGAUCAUCACGUGGUGCUUAGAAGCGACGAACUGUAGCAACGGUGCACAGUUAGGGGAGAACACUUCUUGAAAUUUUGUAAGGGAUCAUCUUAUUUACUACCGUCGUCCUAAGUAAACAAGAUGCAUAAACAUGAUAAACAUCACAUGCAAUCAAAUAGUGACAUGAUAUGGCCAAUAUCAUUUUUCUCCUUUUGAUCUUCAUCUUCGGGGCUCCAUGAUCAUCAUCGUCACCGGCACGACACCAUGAUCUCCAUCAUCAUGAUCUCCAUCAUCGUGUCUUCAUGAAGUUGUCACGCCAACGACUACUUCUACUUCUAUGACUAACGUGUUUAGCAAUAAAGUAAAGUAGUUUACAUGGCGUUCUUCAAUGACACGCAGGUCAUACAAAAAAUAAAGACAACUCCUAUGGCUCCUGCUGGUUGUCAUACUCAUCGACAUGCAAGUCGCGAAUCCUAUUACAAGAACAUGAUAAAUCUCAUACAUCACAUAUCAUUCAUCACAUUCUUCUUGGCCAUAUCACAUCACAUAGCAUACCCUGCAAAAACAAGUUAGACGUCCUCUAAUUGUUGUUGCAUGUUUUACGUGGCUGCUAUGGGUUUCUAGCAAGAACGUUUCUUACCUACGCAAGACCACAACGUGAUAUGCCAAUUGCUAUUUACCCUUCAUAAGGACCCUUUUCAUCGAAUCCGUUCCGACUAAAGUGGGAGAGACUGGCACCCGCUAGCCACCUUAUGCACCAAGUGCAUGUCAAUCGGUGGAACCUGUCUCACGUAAGAGUACGUGUAAGGUCGGUCCGGGCCGCUUCAUCCCACAAUACCGUCGAAACAAGAUUGGACUAGUAACGGUAAGCAUAUUGAACAACAUCAACGCCCACAACUACUUUGUGUUCUACUCGUGCAAAGAAUCUACGCAAUAGACCUAGCUCAUGAUGCCACUGUUGGGGAACGUAGCAGAAAUUCAAAAUUUUUUCUACGUAUCACCAAGAUCUAUCUAUGGAGAGACCAGCAACGAGUAGAAAGGAGAGUGGAGAGUGCAUCUACAUACCCUUGUAGAUCGCUAAGCGGAAGCGUUCAAGUGAACGGGGUUGAUGGAUUCGUACUCGUCGUGAUUCAAAUCACCGAUGAUCUAGUGCCGAACGGACAGCACCUCCGCGUUCAACACACGUACAGCCCGGUGACGUCUCCCACGCCUUGAUCCAGCAAGGAGAGAGGGAGAGGUUGAGGAAGACUCCAUCCAACAGCAGCACAACGGCGUGGUGGUGGUGGAGGAGCGUGGCAAUCCCGCAGGGCUUCCCCAAGCACCAUGGGAGAGGAGGAGGAGGGAGAGGGGCAGGGCUGCACCAACGAGAGAUCAAAUCGCGUGUUAUGGGCAGCCCCUAGGCCUCAUAUAUAUAGGGGAAGGGGAGGGCUGCGCCCCCUUUAGGGUUUCCCACCCCAAGGGGCGGCGGCCAGCCUCCAGAUGGCAUCUGGUGCGGCGGCCAAGAGGGGGGAGGAGUCCAUCCUCCCCAAGGCACCUCGGAGGUGCCUUCCCCCUUGAGGACUCUUCCCUCUAGGGUUCCCUAGGCGCAUGGGCCUCUUGGGGCUGGUGCCCUUGGCCCAUGUAGGCCAAGGCGCACCCCUACAGCCCAUGUGGCCCCCCGGGGCAGGUGGCCCCACCCGGUGGGCCCCUGGGACCCUUCCGGUGGUCCCGGUACAAUACCGAUGACCCCGAAACUUGUCCCGAUGGCCGAAACAGGACUUCCUAUAUAUAAAUCUUUACCUCCGGAUCAUUCCGGAACUCCUCGUGACGUCCGGGAUCUCAUCCGGGACUCCGAACAACAUUCGGUAACCACAUACAAACUUCCUUUAUAACCCUAGCGUCAUCGAACCUUAAGUGUGUAGACCCUACGGGUUCGGGAGACAUGCAAACAUGACCGAGACGUUCUCCGGUCAAUAACCAACAGCGGGAUCUGGAUACCCAUGUUGGCUCCCACAUGUUCCACGAUGAUCUCAUCGGAUGAACCACGAUGUCAAGGACUUAAUCAAUCCCGUAUUCAAUUCCCUUUGUCUAGCGGUAUUUUACUUGCCCGAGAUUCGAUCGUCGGUAGCCAAUACCUUGUUCAAUCUCGUUACCGGCAAGUCACUUUACUCGUUCCGUAACACAUCAUCCCGUGAUCAACUCCUUGGUCACAUUGCGCAUAUGAUGAUGUCCUACCGAGUGGGCCCAGAGAUACCUCUCCAUUUACACGGAGUGACAAAUCCCAGUCUCGAUCCGCAUAAAACAAUAGAUACUUUUGAAGAUACCUGUAGUUCACCUUUAUAGUCACCCAGUUACGUUGUGACGUUUGAUACACCCAAAGCACUCCUACGGUAUCCAGGAGUUACACGAUCUCAUGGUCAAAGGAAGAGAUACUUGACAUUGGCAAUGCUCUAGCAAACGAACUACACGAUCUUUGUGCUAUGCUUAGGAUUGGGUCUUGUCCAUCACAUCGUUCUCCUAAUGAUGUGAUCCCGUUAUCAACGACAUCCAAUGUCCAUAGCCAGGAAACCAUGACUAUCUGUUGAUCACAACGAGCUAGUCAACUAGAGGCUCACUAGGGACAUAUUGUGGUCUAUGUAUUCACACGUGUAUUACGAUUUCCGGAUAAUACAGUUAUAGCAUGAAUAAAAGACAAUUAUCAUGAACAAGGAAAUAUAAUAAUAAUACUUUUAUUAUUGCCUCUAGGGCAUAUUUCCAACAUUUGGCAUGUCCAAAUGGUAUCCAUUUUCUACAGUGCUUUUCUAUGCCCAAAUAACCAUCCUCCACCAAAUGCCAGUUCAAUCCAUUCAUUAUUUUGAGCCCAGCUUCAACAUUCGUAUUUAUGUCCAGUGUGGUACUUUGUAAAGCAAGUACCACCUAGGUUCCUCCUUUUGAGGUGAAAAUUUGUGAAGACGGUCUUCUUAGUAACUAAUCAUCCUCAGCCAAAACUCACGCCCAUUGACCAUGUGCAUUUCCCGUACCGCAAAUCAAACACUUGGCUGCUUAUUCAUGUUUGAGCAUAGUUGGGUCUCCUCAUGAGAAUCUUAUGUUAUAAUUUUCUUCCUAGCACCUACCUGGGGAGUUCCCAGCCCACUAGACAUGCCUAGGCCUCGCAGAACGCAUGGCAACGCCACGGUCACGCGAUGACCACGCGGCGGCAUGCGAGCGUAUGCGCUCUAGAGUUGGGCCCUCGGCCACCGUCCAAACCUCGAUGUCUCACCAUCAAACCAUGUAUUUCUGAUUAAAUAGAUACUUAUUUACCUAGAAAUGAUUUUUGGAAAAAAUAAAGAGCAAACUAUGAGGCACCUGCAGUUCAAAUUUGACCCGCUUCCAGCUAAAUCGACGGGAAUUUGUCUUUUUCACCAGAGGUGGAUCAAAACUUUUGACACCCAACCAUUUUGUCAGUUGUGCAUUAUAUAUGGCCUAGUAUUUUAUAAAAUUGAUUAGGUCCAGUUUUGCAACAAAUAUAUGGUAGGUCCUUCACAAAAAAACUCAUUUUGGACACUCAAAAAAAUGGAAAAUGAAUUUUUCGUCCAAAGAAAAUAAAAAGUUCCUUAGGCAACAUUGUUUGUCAUUCCAAGAUACACCCUUGUGCAUGAUAUGAGGUCAUUUGAACAAACUAUGCCAUGAAUGUGGCCAUAAGAUUGAUCAUUUGGCUUGAAAGCCAUGAAUCUUCACACAUGAUAGCUCAUUUCCGAGAACACUUUUUUAAAAUAAUUACCGUAUUACAAGUUUAUUAUUUUUCCUGGAAACUUGGUCACAUAAAAUGACACAAUGCGAAGGUUUUCCAAUUUUUUGAUUUUUUUUGAAUUUUUUAUGCCCGUUCCAAAAUGCGGUCAAAAUGGCGGGCUUGACCGUUCCUAGCUAGUGGUUGAAUCUUGGAAAACUUUUGGUGUUUCUAUGAUAAAAUAGAUACUUAUUUACCUAUAAAUAAUUUUUAUAAAAAAUAAAUAGCAAACUAUGAGGCAGCUGCAGUUCAAAUUUGACCCGUUUCCAACUGAAUCGGCCGCAAUUUGUCUUUUUCACCAGAGGUGGAUCAAAACUUUUUACACCCAACCAUUUGGUCAAUUGUGCAUUAAACAUGGCCUAGUAUUUUAUAAAAUUGAUUUGUUCCAUUUUUGCAACAAUUAUUUGGUAGUUCCUUCACAAAAAACCUCAUUUCGGGCACUCGAAAAAUGGAAAAUGAAUUUUCCGUGCAAAGAAAAUGAAAACUUCCUUAGGCAACAUUAUUUGUAAUUCUAAGAUGCACCCUUGUGCAUAAUAUAAGAUCAUUUGAACAAACUAUGCCAUGAAUGUGGCCAUAUGAUUGAUCAUUUGGCUUGAAAGCCACGAAUCUUCACGCAUGAUAGCUCAUUUCUGAGAACAUUUUUUUAAAAUAAUUACCGUAUUACAAGUUUAUUAUUUUUCCUGGAAACUUGGUCACAUAUAAUGACACAAUGCGAAGGUUUUCCAAUUUUUUAAUUUUUUUAAUUUUUUAUGCCCGUUUCAAAAUGCGAUCAAAACGGCGGGCUUGACCGUUCCUAGCUAGUGGUUGAAUCUUGGAAAACUUUUGAUGUUUCUAUGAUUAAAUAGAUACUUUUGUACCUAAAAAUGAUUUUUGGAAAAAAUAAAGAGCAAACGAUGAGGCAGCUGCAGUUCAAAUUUGACCCGCUUCCCGCUGAACCAGCGGAAAAUUGUCUUUUUCACGAGAGGUGGACCAAAACUAUUGACACCCAAAAAUUUGGUCAAUUGUAUAUUAAAUAUGGAGUAGUAUUUUAGAAAAUUGAUGAAGGCCAGUUUUGCAAUAAAUAUUUGGUAGGUUCUUCACAAAAAAACCCAUUUUUGCCACUUGAAAAAUGAUUAAAAAUAGCUAGAAAGAUCAGAAAUGCAUAAAAAUUGGUCCUUAUCCAUAAAGUAUGGUCUAACUUUAGUGAAAAUUUGUAUGGUCUCACAAAAUUCCUCUAUUUUUAGUACUUGAAAACUAUUUUAAAUCACUGAUUUUCCGAACCAAUCAGAACUCUUCCCACGGAUCGAUGACAUGGCGCCCAUCCAUCCAUCCAUCCAUCUCUCCAUCCCACAUCCAUCCAUCCAUCUAUCUACAGAAAAAAAGAAAAAAAGUAAAGAAAAAGAGAUACCCCACCUGCAGCCCAAACCCUAGCUUAGUUCCCAUCCCCGCAUCGCACCCCUCCCUCAUCCCCAUCUCCUCGCCGCCGCCACGUACGGCGGCCGAUGCCGGCAACUUCCAGCGUAAUCUGCGGCUCCCAGCACAUCACCGUGACCCCUUCCCUCCGCUCCAUCCUCCCCUCGGACUAGAUCCGCCGCGCAUGUCCCCAUCAACCAGAUCGACCGCACCCUCCAUCCCAGCCCCGACUAUGCUGCAGAUCGAGUACGACAGCCAUGGCGUCGCGGCUGGCGGGUUCAUAUCCUCCAUGGUGGCCUCCUCCGCGUCCUCCGCUGCAGCAGCCAGAGAGCGGCGGGUCCAUCCCGUCCAUGGUGGCCUCCUCCGCGUCCUCCGCGGUGGCCACGGCCGCGGACUACACGUGCCGGGGCGAGGCCUUCGGGGCAGACAUGGUCCCUUCUACACGCCUCACUCCACCACUUGCUCUGCCUCCCCUCGAUACAAAUCCUCUCCUUCAUUCCCUCUCUGCUUCCCUCAUUUUUCUCUUGGUAGGAUUCGAUCUGGAGCAGCGCCCGCCCUCCACGGACGACGGCAUCACCAUGGAGAUGGAGCCGCUGCAACAUCACCAACUCACCCGAUGCAUGUAGUGCAGGCAAAAGAGGACGACGCCCAGCUACGGAAUUUGAGCGGCAGCUGCUGAAGGUCCCCUGGUCUAAUCAAUUUUUUUUCAUGUGCCAUUUCUUUUUGUGUUUGUUUCUGACCAGCGGACUUAUGGAUGAAUUACUGGAGAUCUUCAUCUGCCAAGUGUUGUUGAUUUACUUGUUUGAUUUCAGUUCACUGGCCAUGUCACCUGUAGGUUUGUCCUUGUUCCCAAAUGAGACGCUUGUGUUGUAGAUGUACUGGCACUGAGUUAAUAAGUCUGUGUACAGAUGAGGCUAAAAUGAUAGUAAUUUUGAUCUAAUAAAGCAUACUUUUGAGCAGUUGAAGGAGGUGACUUGUCUUUUCCAGUACUCCUUCCUUCCCGAUAACUAUCUACUGCCACGCUCUUUUGUUCAGUCAACUGUUUAGUUUAGAUGCGGCUUCAGUGCCAAGUUAUCUGUCGGAAAUAUGUCUUCACUGGUGUCUGGGGAGAUUAAGUGUCUAACUGUCAGCGCUAGCUGCUUGGACGACUGUUAAUCCAGUUCUCCGUGCUUUUGUACCUGUCUUGACAUUGAUAUCCUUGAUCGUUUUUUGUUGUAUGUCGUACUAGUAGUUAGUCGCCGCAGUAGUCUUGGUUGGCAGAUCGGCUGCUUCAUAUGCUGCUACUGGUGAGAGGGAUUGAGGGGGGGGGGGGAGAUGCUUCAUACACUGUUGAUGUGUAUGCACCCUGUUCCGUGCAAUGCGCGAGGCAAUUCACGGAUUGAGAUCGUUUUUGUGUGCUUGGAGAGAUUUGGAAUUUUUUUGCUCUGUUCGUCUAGAGAUGGAGCAUGUGUAGAUAGAGUUCAUUAGUUUUUGGUGUAUUCGUCUUCAUUUAGCAAAGUUCAGAAACACAAACAACAGCAGUUCAUUAGUUACACUAAGCAUUUUCCUGCCUAUGUUGUAUUUAGACCAAAAUUUGCUAAUAGACACCCCCUUCACAGAUCUGCUAUUUUUUGGCGUGCACAUAUCUGUAUGUCUUAACAGUUUCCAGCAGUUGUGUUCUUGGUGUAUAGUUAGGUGCAAUCUUCUGCCCUGAAAUCAUCAGGAAAUGCCUUUGCUGGAGCUCACCUAUGGCCUUGUUUGUCCUGCAGGUUAGUGAGCAUCAUCAGGACUUUUGAUGUUGAGUUGUUUGGACCAGGGGUUGAUGAGUUUCUUUGAAUGGACAUGUGAACCACAAUAUGGACAAGAGAUUGGCUGUGGUUUGAUUAGGUUGUGUUUUGGUUGGUGCAUCUUAUGAACAUGGUGUACUGAUACUAAGCUACUAGCUAUGUUAUUUUGGUUGGUGCAUCUUAUGAACUUGUGGUGUAAUGAUAUUGUUGGGCCUAAGUUAAUGAAAUCUUGGAGAAUUGUAUUAUUAUUAUCAUUUUAUUCUCCUGUAUUGGUUGACUGGCAAACUGUGGAAUGAAUUUUUUUGAGCUACUGUUGGUUAUUGGCUGGACCAAAAAUAUUAAAUUG